GAUGAAGAACGUAGCAAAAUGCGAUAAGUAAUGUGAAUUGCAGAAUUCAGUGAAUCAUCGAAUCUUUGAACGCACAUUGCGCCCGCCAGUAUUCUGGCGGGCAUGCCUGUUCGAGCGUCAUUUCAACCCUCAAGCACAGCUUGGUGUUGGGACUCGCGUUAAUUCGCGUUCCCCAAAUUGAUUGGCGGUCACGUCGAGCUUCCAUAGCGUAGUAAUAAAACCCUCGUUACUGGUAAUCGUCGCGGCCACGCCGUUAAACCCCAACUUCUGAAUGUUGACCUCGGAUCAGGUAGGAAUACCCGCUGAACUUAAGCAUAUCAAUAAGCGGAGGA
rnacentral:misc_RNA from 1 species